rnacentral:lncRNA from 10 species
AUUCCUGCUUUCCCGCUCAAAUGUUGCAUUUUCUAAGACCUCCCUGGCCCGCCAUACGCCGAUCCUGAACCUACGAAAACCCAAGACUGCGGGCACGGUGGCUCAUGCCUGUAAUCCCAGCACUUUGGGAGGCCGAGGCGGGCAGAUCACGAGGUCAAGAAGUCGAGACCAGCCUUGCUAACAUGGCGAAACCCUGACUCUACUGAAAAUACAAAAAUUAGCUGGGCGUGAUGGCGUGCGCGCCUGUAGUCCCAGCUGCUCGGGAGGCUGAGGUAGGAGAAUCGCUUCAAUCCGGGAGGUGGAGGUUGCGGUAAGCAGAGAUUGCGCCACUGCACUCUAGCCUGGCGACAGAGACUCCUUCAAAAACAACAACAACAACAACAACAACAACAAAACAAAACCUCCCAAGACCCUAGUGGGCAGACACACAGCCAGCCAGACAUGGAGAGGAGCACAUUAGCAGAAGAAGACGCAAGUGGCUGGUCCUCGAGAGGACGUUGAGAGGAGCAUGCCAGCAGAAGAGCACACAACGACAGGCACCGACACACCACCGGCAGGCCAUGCACCAGCAGAAUGAUGCGGAGUUUGACGGGGCAGUCAGAGAAGAGCCUGGGCCGCCAAGGGGCCCGACUCCAGGGGAAAACCAUCUCCCUUCUGGCUCCCCCAUCUGCUGAGAGCUACUUCUACUCAAUAAAACCUUGCACUCAUUCUCCAAGCCCACGUGUAAUCCGAUUCUUCAGGUAAGCCAGGGCAAGAAACCCCAGGAUACAGAAAUCCUUCUGUCCUUGUGAUAAGAAAGGGGGUGUAAUUGAGCUAACACAAACCGCCUAUAGAUGGCAACCUAAAAGAGCAUCCUGUAACACACGCCCGCCCACUGGGGCUUCAGGAGCUGUAAAUAUUCACCCCUAGACACUGCUGUGCGAUCGGAGCCCCACAGCCUGCCCGCCUGUAUGCUCCCCUAGAGGUCUGAGCAGCAGGGCACUGAAGAAUCGAGCCACACCUCAUCACACACCCUGCGAGGGGGACAAGGGAGCUUUUCCCAUAUCAAGUAGAUUGCCCUGGUGCUGCAGAAGCAGGAAAAACAGGACCUGCCCAUACCCAAGAGCCCGGCAACUCUGGCUAGAGUGAGGCCUGAAAUUGUGUCCGGAAUUGGUGGGUUCUUGGUCUCACUGGCUUCCUCUCAAAAUCACGCUCAAGAGACGCCACAGUUAGAGGUAAUGGCACCUCUUUUUUUUUUUUAAUUUUUAAUUAUUUAUUUUUUGUGAACUGGGGUCUGGCUCUGUCACCCAGGCUGGAGUACAGUGGUGUGAUCAUAGCUCACUGCAAUCUCGAACUUCUGGGCUCAAGUAAUUCUCCUGUCUC